GGCCAAGAGAUUCCAUUUUGUUGUUCAAGACUCCGUAUGCCAAAAUGAUUGAUAGUCAAGUAGUUCUCUGAUAAUAUUAGAACUUAAGUUUAUGUAACAAUUUAAUAUUAACACGAACGAUCAUUAAGAAGUUACAGAUAGACAGAAAGUGAAAGCAUCACAGUUUGUUGCCCUGUCAUAAAGAGAAAUUAUAAUAAAAACACCCUGCUCUCCCUAUCUCUCAUAAUUCUCAAGGCACAAACACAUAAAAGACAUUUAAUAUAAAGAGAAAAUGGAGGAAGAUCUCGGUGAAUAGGUUUAAGGAAGAGGCCAUGAUGAUAUAAGUUUUCUCCACUUCCAGUCUCCAAUAAGUUCACUUUUUCAAAUGAGGAAAACAGGCAUAAACAUCAGAUUUAGGGUGUUUGGCUUCGGCGUGCUCC
rnacentral:lncRNA from 1 species